UGUGUGUGUGUGUUUCUGUGUGUGUGUGUUUAAGGUUUGAAUCCUCAGUGAACCAGGGCAGAAAAGAAUGAUGAAAUCCUUGAGAGUUUUACUGGUGAUCCUGUGGCUUCAGUUAAGCUGGGUUUGGAGCCAACAGAAGGAGGUGGAGCAGAAUCCUGGACCCCUCAGUGUUCCAGAGGGAGCCACUGCCUCUCUCAACUGCACUUACAGCAACAGUGCUUUUCAAUACUUCAUGUGGUACAGACAGUAUUCCAGAAAAGGCCCUCAGUUGCUGAUUUACAUAUACUCCAGUGGUAACAAAGAAGAUGGAAGGUUUACAGCACAGGUCGAUAAAUCCAGCAAGUAUAUUUCCUUGUUCAUCAGAGACUCACAACCCAGUGAUUCAGCCACCUACUUCUGUGCAAUGAGCGCACAGUGCUCCCCAGACACCUGCAGUCUGUACCCAAACCUGCUGGACCCCAGGAAUGCCUGAUGUAGAGCUUAGAUUGCAAGGCUAUGAAGUUCUGUUUGCUCUCUGGAUGCAAAUGA